AUUUCUCUCCCCUUUUGGUGCAAUUUUCCUUUUCAGGGUUUAAAAAAAAAAAAAAAAAAAAUUCUACACAAUGCUGGUUUAGUAGUUAAGAGAAUUGAAAUAUUUAGACCAAAAUAACGGAGGAUGCCAGACCAUUCCAAACUGUUUCUGUUCACUGAUUAGCCCCGAUUUGGGUUUUUGAGUCAGCGUUUGAGUGGAUUGUUGUGAUAACAUUAUGACCUAUGUUUCAUGAAGCCUUGACCAAGGCAGUCAUUCUUGCAUAGUGGAAACAAUGAAAUGAAUAGGGGCACCUGAUCACUAUUUUCUGCUACAAACUUCCGUGCAAAGGUGUGAAAAUCAGAUGUAGAAACACAGUGCUGUUAUAUGCUGGAUGUAACGAUAACUUGGUUAUUCAUGUGGAGUUGCAAAGAGCUAGUAUGUAGCUCCAAAAUGUUGAAUAAAUAGGUUGAUUUUUAAAUCCAGUGCCACUGUAUUCUGUUUCUACAGAAUAUUACUAAACCUCCUCUCUCCCCAGAUGAAACCAUUAUGAUGAUUUAUCAGGACUUUGGUUUUAAACAAAUGGCUUAAAUGUUUGGGAGCAUGUAGCCCAUAAUAGUUGGAACCAAAUGAUUUGUUGAGAUAUAUAAAUCAUCCUCUAUAUAAAUUCCUGUAUGGUUUUGGUUAUUCACCACGAAAGAUCUGUAUUUUUAGUCUAAGGGUACUUUAGGAAAAUAUUUUUACUUAAAGUCUUUUAACAAAAAUAGUGUUGACAGUGUGUAGUUUAACUUGGAUCUGGUGAUCAAGGGAAUAUAUUUUUUAAUUAUUUUCUUGCCUUUUUUUAACAUUAUGCAGUACCUUAUUUGAGAGGAGAACUUCUAUUAUAAGGUGAUGUUAUAAGGCCAUAAUCACUAACUUAGGCAUCUCAGAUGUUUGAACCACUCCUAAUACCCAGCAAACCUAGUUACAAAAUGUUUGUUGUGCCAAUGUUUAAAAUGAUUCAGCCAAUGCAUAAAAACUGGAAAAAAAUUAUACUUUACCAUCUUUUGAUGUUUACAGUGUGAAGCAGUGCCUUUAAGCCCCUAAAGGUUAUCUCCAUCUUUUGUAUCCUGACUUGUCUGCUUCUUUAUUUUAAAGAGACAAUAUGCAUUUAGACUUUUAUGCCUCUACUUUCUGCGACAUGGUUCUAAGAUUUUUUUUUUUUUUUUUUUUCAACUACUUAAAUUUCUAAGAAGUGUUGCAGAAGAAAUACAUAUUUACUUUAAUAUGUAGAACUGCCAGUGGGCCAGUACGGUGCUUAUUUCACAUAAACGCAUAUUGUAAUACAGCAGUUAAUUGUUGUGUUCUGUAACACAACCCAAAAUCUUUCCCUCAAUUCUUCCAUGUUCUCCAUUCUGCAGUCUUGUUCAUCAUGCUUUUCAGCACAGGGCAUUUGUGAGAAUAUAGUAAAUUUCUCUUUAGAAUCUGUAGUACUCUUUCAGACCGCCAGGUAACUCUGCCCUAGAACUAGUUUCAUUUAAAACUCUGUGUUGGAGACCUGUUUAACAUGACAUUACUUUUUCAUUCUGUGUGUAUUGAAUUUUAAUCACUGACUUUAUUUAGUGAAGGAUACAGUCUCUGAAGUCUGUCACAUUGUUUUAAACAAAGACUUAAAGGGUUAUCCACUAAAGUGAAUAUUUGUGAGAAUUAAAAGUAAGUUUUAAAUUAAGGCCCAAAAUAGUUUAACUGGAAUCAUUCUCAAUGUCAGCUCUGCUACCAGUGCAGUCUGUAACUUGAAAUUCACUUUGAAUUCUUGUAUUACCUGACUAUUUUCACGUUGGUAAAUAACCCUGCUAAUCCCAAACAGAUACUUUUCAAUGAGUAUUUUUUUUUUAAACAGAUUUUUCUUAACUUUAAUAGGAAAUACUAGAUUGGUGCAUUAUUUCUCAGCUAAUCUAAAGGAAGAACUGACCACUGCAUCAGUGUCUAGUAGAUUUACUAAAAGGGCUUUAGUAUCGUAGGUAUAAAAUUAGGAUUGAGGUAUCCCGCAAUGUUGUUCCUCUAAAAAAAAAAAAAAGGUUCUAAAACUACGAUCAUAUUGAAUUUCACACACUGGAUGGGAUAAUAAAGUAUUAAAGUCAUAUCCCUAUUAAAUGAG